UACGUAGGGAGCAAGCGUUGUUCGGAUUUACUGGGCGUAAAGGGCGCGUAGGCGGCAAUUCAAGUCACUUGUGAAAUCUCCGGGCUUAACUCGGAACGGUCAAGUGAUACUGCUUUGCUAGAGUGCGGAAGGGGCAAUCGGAAUUCUCGGUGUAGAGGUGAAAUUCGUAGAUAUCGAGAGGAACAUCGGUGGCGAAGGCGGCCUUCUGGACGGUGACUGACGCUGAGACGCGAAAGCGUGGGGAGCAAACAGG
rnacentral:rRNA from 1 species